CAGUGGCUCCUCACUGAAGAGUAUUAUACUUAUAUGGUGAUUGAUGUCCCUUCCAGAUCAUGCCUACAGUGACAGCACGGACAUGGUGAAGAUUAUUGUGCAGACAGUUCAGAGUCAAGACCGAGUUCUCAAGGAACUUUUCGGCCAUCUCAGCAAGCUCUUGGGCUGCAAGCAGAAGAUUAUUGACUUGCUUCCAAAGAUUGAAGUGGCUUUAAAUAACAUCAAAGAAGCUGAUAACUCUGUGAUGCAGAUGCAGGGCAAAAGACAAAGGGAGAUAUGGCAUUUGCUCAAAAUUGCUUGCGUAAGUAGCUUUUGGAUUACUUGUUGGCUCUUCCUUCCAUUACAGGAACCAGGGAACAUCAAAUGAAACUGAAGAGACAAGAUCAAAA